rnacentral:rRNA from 1 species
AUUGAACGCUGGCGGCAGGCCUAACACAUGCAAGUCGAGCGGAUGAAGGGAGCUUGCUCCUGGAUUCAGCGGCGGACGGGUGAGUAAUGCCUAGGAAUCUGCCUGGUAGUGGGGGAUAACGUCCGGAAACGGGCGCUAAUACCGCAUACGUCCUGCGGGAGAAAGUGGGGGAUCUUCGGACCUCACGCUAUCAGAUGAGCCUAGGUCGGAUUAGCUAGUUGGUGGGGUAAAGGCCUACCAAGGCGACGAUCCGUAACUGGUCUGAGAGGAUGAUCAGUCACACUGGAACGGGGACACGGUCCAGAGUCCUAAGGGAGGCAGCAGAGGGGAAUAGUGGACAAAGGGCGAAAGCCUGGUCCAGCCAUGCCGCGUGUGUGAAGAAGGUCUUCGGAUUGUAAAGCACUUUAAGUUGGGAGGAAGGGCAGUAAGUUAAUACCUUGCUGUUUUGACGUUACCAACAGAAUAAGCACCGGCUAACUUCGUG